rnacentral:rRNA from 1 species
AUGCCUCCCCUCUACAUAUUAGCUCUUGGGCUUCUCCUCUUACACACUCCUCGCUGCUCCUCGUCUGCACCUGCUGGUGAUACCCUCACUGAAGGCCAAGUGCUUGCCGUCGGCGACAAGCUCGUCUCGACGAACGGCAAGUUCGCGCUCGGCUUCUUCCAGCCUGCAACGACCACCAUUAGUAAGUCUCAGAACGCCACCAGCUCCAGCUCCAGCUGGUACCUUGGCAUAUGGUUCAAUAAGAUCCCGGUUUUUACUGUCGUGUGGGUUGCUAAUCGGGAGGAGCCCAUCGCCCAUUCCAACAUCAACUCAACAAAGCUCAAGUUCUCAAGUGACGGCAAUCUUGUCAUUGUCACAAACCGUGCUGAUGCCGUCACUGAAUCCCUUGUUUGGUCCACUCAUAUUGUCAAUAGGACACAAGCCAGUAGCAUAAACACCACCACCUCUAGUGCCGUUGUUCUCUUGAACAGUGGAAACCUUGCCCUACUCACAAAUAGCAAAGUGAUGUUGUGGCAGAGCUUCGACUACCCAACAGAUAUCGCGCUUUCUGGCGCCAAGCUUGGCUGGAACAAGGUCACUGGUUUCAGUCGCAAGUUCAUAUCAAAGAAGAGCCUCAUUGAUAUGGGUCUUGGCUCAUACAGCCUAGAACUAGACACCAGCGGCGUCGCCGUCCUCAAGCGCCGCAACAAUCCCUCUGUAGUCUAUUGGCAUUGGGCAUCCUCCAAAACAUCAUCACUGAGUGUUUUACCAACACUAAAGACAAUUAUAGAUUUGGAUCCACGCACCAAAGGCUUGAUGAACCCAAUAUAUGUCGACAACGAGCAAGAGGAGUACUACAUGUACACAUCACCGGAGGAAUCAUCGUCUUCCCUCUUUGUCUCACUAGACAUCUCUGGUCAGGUCAAGCUGAAUGUUUGGUCGCAAGCCGACCAGUCUUGGCAAACCAUAUGUGCUGAGCCUGCCGAUGCCUGCACUCCAGCUGCUACCUGCGGACCUUUCACAGUCUGCAAUGGCAAUGCUCAGCCAUCCUGUGACUGUAUGGAGAGCUUCUCUCAGAAGUCACCACAGGAUUGGGAGUUUGAGGAUCGAACAGGAGGCUGCAUCAGAAAAACACCUUUGCAUUGCAGCACUAGUGGUAACAACAAAAACAUGACAAGUUCAACAGACAUAUUCCACCCCAUUUCUCAAGUUGUGUUACCCUACAACCCACAAAGCAUAGAUGUUGCUACCACUCAGAGCAAAUGCGAAGAAGCUUGUCUCAGUUCCUGCUCCUGCACUGCUUAUUCCUAUAACAAUAGCAGAUGCUCUGUCUGGCAUGGUGAAUUGCUCAGUGUAAAUCUGAAUGAUGGCAUUGACAAUAAUUCUAAAGAUGCCCUUUACCUCCGUCUUGCCGCGGCUGCAAAGUUUGAAAAGAAGAAGAAUCAAACAAACAUAAGAGUUGUAACUGUUGCAAGCAUUAUUGGUUUUGGAUUAUUGCUAAUGCUCGUGCUGCUGUUACUGAUUUGGAAGAACAAAUUCAAACCAUUAUACAACAAUCAAGGUACUGGUGGUGGGAUAAUAGCCUUUAGAUACACUGAUUUAGUUCGUGCUACUAAAAACUUCUCAGAGAAACUGGGAGGAGGUGGUUUUGGUUCUGUAUACAAAGGAGUCUUAAGCGACUCGACUAGUAUAGCAGUGAAAAGGCUUGAUGGUGCCCGUCAAGGAGAGAAGCAAUUCAGGGCUGAGGUGAGCUCAAUUGGACUGAUCCAGCAUAUUAACAUAGUAAAAUUGAUCGGUUUCUGCUGCGAAGGUGAUCACAGGUUACUUGUGUAUGAACACAUGUUAAAUGGUUCUCUUGAUGGUCAUCUAUUUGGGAAGAGAAACAUUGCUGUUGCUGUCCUAAAUUGGAACACCAGAUAUCAAAUAGCCCUAGGAGUUGCCAAAGGAUUGUCCUACUUGCAUCAGGGUUGUCACAAAUGCAUCAUACAUUGCGACAUUAAGCCAGGAAACAUACUUGUGGAUCCAUCUUUUGUUCCUAAAAUUGCAGACUUUGGGUUGGCAGCGUUUGUGGGAAGGGAUUUUAGCCGAGUUCUGACAACAUUCAGAGGAACUGCUGGUUAUCUUGCCCCAGAGUGGCUUAGCGGAGUUGCAAUCACACCGAGAAUUGACGUUUAUGGCUUUGGCAUGGUACUUCUGGAAAUCAUUUCAGGAAGGAGGAAUUCCUCACUUGAAACAUCAUACAACACUAGUGGCAGUAGCAGUUGCCAGAAUGUUGAAUAUUUCCCUGUGCAAGCCAUCAGCAAGCUUCACAGCGGAGAUGUGAAGAGUUUGGUGGAUCCACAAUUGCAUGGGGAUUUCAAUUUGGAAGAGGCUGAAAGAGUUUGCAAAGUUGCAUGCUGGUGCAUCCAAGAUAAUGAGUUUGAUCGGCCGCCUAUGGUUGAAGUGGUCCGGGUUCUUGAGGGUCUGCAAAAGAUUGAUAUGCCCCCGAUGCCAAGACUACUUGCAGCUCUAAUGGUCUAA